UACGAGAAAUGAUUAAAGAGGCAGAGAGAAGACAAAUAAUGCCUAUAGCUACUAAACCUCGUCCUUCAUUUUUAUCUUCUUAAACCUUAAACUAUAAUACUACGUAAAAUGGAUUGCUUUCUUGUAAUUGUCAUUGUUGUACUUCAUUCUUUUAGUUCGUUUUAAUUCGUUUCAUUUGUUUUUGUUGGAAUCGUUUCAAUUCUUUUGUAUGUAUUACUAAUUCACCACAUCACACUCAUUUUCUACUACACUUUUACUUCUACACAAACACUUUCGAUCGUUUCCUUUCUUUGGGGCUCCAUCACGUGUAUCAACAAAUCUCCAUUGCAUCCUGGAGCCACCGAGACAAAGUGUUGAGGCUCAAAUGAUGGCAAAUGUUAAUUGACUCCCGAGCCAAUUUAUAACUUCACUGUAGUGCCUCGUCCAUUUCAGUGAUAAUCUUUCUCCCAAUCUCUUCAAAAAGGCAUUUGCUUCUCUUCCUACCGUACCAGCCACUGACACACAUAUUGGGGUGAAUAAUGCUUGUUUUGCUUCACAUGCUGUCAAAUACUUCACUUUCUUCUCCUCUUCAGCUUUGGCCAGUACAUCAGAUAGAGACCGGUUCAAAUAUAACUGGGUGUCAGUGUUUACAACACAAAUAUCGAGCAAUGCCUCAGACUGUGGAGACCAGACUCCCCUAAUGGCUAGGUCAGCCACAAGAGCAGGAGAUUUAUUUUGGAUAUUUGAUUCUUGUACUAUUGGUUCUCGACAAACCUGUCCCCAUUAUUAUUAUUAUUACUACUAUUAUCACAGCUAACAAGUUGGUACAAAACUGUGAUACACAAUUACAUAUUUAAAUGUCCCCUCAGAAUUUGUGCAGAUCCCAAUAACACAGUCUUCUGUGUAUGCUCUACUUUGAUGUUAAUCUCCAACCUCUUUAACCAGUCACUGAUCCUAUGUGAUAUUGCCCCCAGUGCUCCAACUACAAUCAGUAUUACUUCCACUUUCUUCAUUCCCCAUAGCUUCACAAUUUCCUGUCUCAAUUCCUGACAUUUCUCAACUUUUUCAUCUUCCUGUACUUCGACUUAGGUGUCACCUGGAACUGCCACAUCUAUAAUCAUACACCUCUUCUCCCUUUUCAUAGCAACUACAAUAUCUGGCUUGCGAUGUUCAACCAUUCUGUGACACUGAAUCAUGAAGUCCCAUAAUGUCUUUACUUCAACUGUUUCAGUUACCCCCUCAGGCUUGUGAUUAUACCAAUUCCUCCCUCUUUCCAUAUCAAAUUUCCCACAUAGCUCCCAAUGGAUGAACUGAGCAAUCUUGUCAUGUCUCCUUUUGUAUUCUCUUUGAGCUAGCACUUUACAUUCACUUACAAUGUGGUAUACACUCUCACCUUCUCUCUAUAUAAAUGACACAAUGAUGACUCACUGGAGCCAUCAAUCUUACAUUUAAUAUAGUUAGUUCUCAAUUCCUGUUCUUGUCCGCACAAAUAAGAGCCUCUGUCUGUCUCUGGUUUUAUAUCACUCUUUUGUAACCACGUCCAUGUCUUGUGUAUAUCUGCUCCUUCCCUCAUCUCCCUGUAAUGCUGUCCAUACAUUCUUUUUCCUAUCCAUCUUUCUUCAGUUGCUACCAUCUCAAGUUGUUUAUAACUUUCCUUUGGCCUACUACCCUCUACAUCUAAGAUUUUACUUCUUCCAACUGCUUUCAAUAACGGUUCCACUAAUUUUUUAACAUACCAACCAAGACUAUACUUUCUUCAGCUUUUAUACUUCUCUCAUAUCCUAAUAAUCCCCUUCCUCUCUUUCUUGAUAAUUAUAGCUGAUUAGUUAUUAUUAUUUUUUUUAUUAAGUACUUUUGCUGUUGUAUUAAUGUUACUAUUUAGUAAGCUAAUGAAUUGAACCAAAAUAUAAACUAGUACUUUAAAGUUAUUGACAUUAAUUUUUUACAUUUUAAAAUGAUACUCUGUACUAUGCUGUUAUUAAAAUUAAUUCUUAAAAAUAAGGUUAUGUUUACACAACUCCACCAUCAUUUUUGUUAUUCCUGUUUCAGGUGUUUACACCAAUCCAGCAGCUGUAUUGUCACUAGAAUUUAUCAUUUGUGUAUAGAAUUAUUCUUUUAGUAGUUGUUUUUAUUUUGUUUGGAUUUGAUAUCAGUGUAAACCCAACCAAAAAUAUUUUAGUUUUUGUUUAAAAUGUAGUCAUGUAAAUGUGGCCUAAAUUAAAAAUACAUUUAAGAAAUUGUAGGAAGCUCUAUGUCCACGGAUAAUGAACUAAAGGCUCCAUUUCUAGGCUGCUGAAGUUCAGGCUGAAGGCUCUGGACUUAUGAAUAAUUUGAUCUAAUUCAUAAUCAUGGUGUGUGCAUACGAGUGUUAGGUGAUAUUAAGUUAUUACCAACUGAUGUACAAGAAUCAGUAGCAAGAGCUGUGACAAUGACUAAAAACAAUAACA
rnacentral:lncRNA from 1 species